UACGGGGGGGGCAAGCGUUAAUCGGAAUUACUGGGCGUAAAGCGUGCGCAGGCGGUUAUGCAAGACAGAUGUGAAAUCCCCGGGCUUAACCUGGGAACCGCAUUUGUGACUGCAUAGCUGGAGUACGGCAGAGGGGGAUGGAAUUCCGCGUGUAGCAGUGAAAUGCGUAGAGAUGUGGAGGAACACCGAUGGCGAAGGCAGCCCCCUGGGCUAACACUGACGCUCAGGCACGAAAGCGUGGGGAGCAAACAGG
rnacentral:rRNA from 1 species